GCUUGUCUCAAAGAUUAAGCCAUGCAUGUUCAAGUAUAGCAAGUGUACAGUGAAACUGCGAAUGGCUCAUUAAAUCAGUUAUAAUUUAUUUGAUAGUGAAAUUGUACAUGGAUAACCGUGGCAAUUCUAGGGCUAAUACAUGCGCAAACGGGACUCCGCAAGGGGCCCAGUAUUUAUUAGAUAAAAAACCAACACCUUUACCGGUGAAUCAUAAUAACUUUUCGAAUCGCCGCUUCGGCAGCGAUAGAUCUUGCAAAUUUCUGCCCUAUCAGCUUUCGACGGUAGUGUAGUGGACUACCGUGGCGUUAACGGGUGACGGGGAAUUAGGGUUCGGUUCCGGAGAGGGAGCCUGAGAAAUGGCUACCACAUCCAAGGAAGGCAGCAGG
rnacentral:rRNA from 1 species